GCGCAACCUUGCCAAGGUUGAGGUCGCGAGUUCGAGACUCGUCUCCCGCUCCA
rnacentral:tRNA from 1 species